rnacentral:rRNA from 1 species
UACGUAGGUGGCAAGCGUUAUCCGGAUUUAUUGGGCGCAAAGGGAACGCAGGCGGUCUUUUAAGUCUGAUGUGAAAGCCUUCGGCUUAACCGGAGUAGUGCAUUGGAAACUGGGAGACUUGAGUGCAGAAGAGGAGAGUGGAACUCCAUGUGUAGCGGUGAAGUGCGUAGAUAUAUGGAAGAACACCAGUGGCGAAAGCGGCUCUCUGGUCUGUAACUGACGCUGAGGUUCGAAAGCGUGGGUAGCAAACAGG